rnacentral:rRNA from 1 species
GACGAACGCUGGCGGCGUGCUUAACACAUGCAAGUCGAACGGAAAGGCCCUGCUUGCGGGGUACUCGAGUGGCGAACGGGUGAGUAACACGUGGGUGAACUGCCCUCCACUUUGUGGUAAGCCUUGGAAACUGGGUCUAAUACCGGAUAGGGGCCAUGUUUAGUGUGAUGGUUGGAAAGAUUUUUCGGUGUAGGGUGAGCUCGCGGCCUAUCAGCUUGUUGGUGGGGUAAUGGCCUACCAAGGCGGCGACGGGUAGCCGGCCUGUGGGGGUGGACGGCCACCUUGGGACCUAGGUACGGCCCCGACUCCUACGGGUGGCAGCAGUGGGGAAUAUUGCACAAUGGGCGCCAGCCUGAUGCAGCGACGCCGCGUGGGGGAUGACGGCCUUCGGGUUGUAAACUCGCUUCGCUAGGGACGAAGGUUUUUGUGACGGUACCUAGAUAAGAAGCACCGGCUAACUACGUG